ACCAGCAGCUCCCUUGGUAGGGGCAUGCAGAAGACCUGAUGACACAAACCCUCCAAAGAGUUUCACCCUCACCACAACAGGUGGCUUCCUGCUCGGCAGCCCAUCCUGCAUCACUUCAGUGGACUUCUCUGACAUCUACUAGACCACAUUAAAUGAAUCACAGCCUUGAAACUGAACUGGAAGGACUUCCUUCAAGGAGCCAGCAUAUGAACUUGCUGCCUAUCUUUAGCAAGGAGAUGCAAAUGACAUCCACAAACCUCUUCUGCUGUAUACCUGGAUGAAAGCAAGGCUAGCUGUGUGUCCUAUGGCACCAAGGACUGAAAGAUUGUAAGAAGUAAGAAAUGCUUUGGUAAUUCUGUUUCUCAAGCCUGCACAUCACGAGCAAACAAGUAUGCUUAUGGGUGUCUUAGCCCAGUAGGCUGUUUAUCAGAAAGCUACCAGUCCCCUGUGAGAAGCUGGCUUUCCUCCAAAAUGUAGAAGGUGUUUAAGGGGACAUAUUUCUUUGGUACACCCUAAAGCAAGCUUGUCCAAUGUGCAGCCUGCAGGCCGCAUGUGGCUCAGGACAGCUUUGAAUGUAGCCCAACAUAAAUUCAUAAACUUUCUUAAAACAUUGUGAUUUUUUUGUGUGUUUUUCUUUGUUUGUUGCUAAUCAUCUAUUGUUAGUGUUAGUGUAUUUUAUGUGUGGCCCAAGACAAUUCUUCUUCUUCCAGUGUGGCCCAGGGAAGCCAAAAGAUUGGACACCCCUACCCUAAUGGCUAAGGAAAGUUUAAAUCCUGUCCCCACCUACCUCAGGUCCAUGUUGCUCUCUAGCUGAGUCAGCUCAUAGAGCUCACUGUGGGCUAUGCCUUGGUGGUGACAGUGUCAACAAUGGACAACACCAAGAGAGGUAACUUUAAGUAUCACACAGAUCCUGCUGUAGCCUUGGGAGCAA
rnacentral:lncRNA from 1 species